ACGGGAGGCAGCAGUGGGGAAUAUUGCACAAUGGGCGAAAGCCUGAUGCAGCGACGCCGCGUGAGUGAUGAAGUAUUUCGGUAUGUAAAGCUCUAUCAGCAGGGAAGAAAAUGACGGUACCUGACUAAGAAGCCCCGGCUAACUACGUGCCAGCAGCCGCGGUAAUACGUAGGGGGCAAGCGUUAUCCGGAUUUACUGGGUGUAAAGGGAGCGUAGGUGGCAAGACAAGCCAGAAGUGAAAAUCCGGGGCUCAACCUCGGAACUGCUUUUGGAACUGUCUAGCUAGAGUGCAGGAGAGGUAAGCGGAAUUCCUAGUGUAGCGGUGAAAUGCGUAGAUAUUAGGAGGAACACCAGUGGCGAAGGCGGCUUACUGGACUGUAACUGACACUGAGGCUCGAAAGCGUGGGGAGCAAACAGGAUUAGAUACCCUGGUA
rnacentral:rRNA from 2 species